rnacentral:lncRNA from 1 species
GCAGGUUGGUGCUCUCUAGCCUAGUUCUUGACAUAUUCUAAUCAUACUCAUGUCUGUAAGCAAUGCAGGCAUUAAACAGGGUCAUAAGUCUUGCUUACUUCCAACUCGGACCAUUAGGAUAGUGUAUAGCCAAGAGUAAUGGUAGAUGUGAUGCAUCUUCAUAUGUGCUUCAGUUAUAAUAUUGUGUCCCAAUGAAGCAAAUGACUGGUUCCCACACUUGCUGUUUUCACAAGUUUUCCAUACAUGCAGAACCAGAAUCACAUGUAAACCCUUUAAAAGAAAACAAAUAUAUAAUGGAUCAGUCUUCAAAAUCCAAAUUAUCACUGCCUGUCAAUCAGAGAAUGAUGCUCUAUAACACAGGAAAACUGAAAUUACAGGGGGUCAUGGCUGAUUGAAUAUGUAUUAUUUAUUAGUUGUAAAAAGAAUUCAUGGCUAUUAUUGGCAAUUAAAAUUUUCAUUUCGAUAGCUUGUAUUGCAGAGAAGUGUCUUUUCUUAAGCUGCCAUGAUUAAAAAUUCUAUAAUAUUUACAUGGAUAAAUCUCUUUCACUCUUUCCCAUUCAAAUUUCAGUUGCAUUCAAUGUUAUCUAAUCUCUAAUGUUUAACAAAAGUGCAAAUUUUACACCAGGAAUGGAUACAAGGGCAUACCGUCUAAGCUGCUUGAAGGACAGCAGUGUCUUUGAAGUUGAUUUUCCAGAAGUCUUAGGAAUGAAAACAACUCUUCUACAGGCAGCCAUGGAAUCAAUAGAUGAUCAGCAGCGCCCACAAAUGAUAGCAGAAUCCCUAAACAGAGUAGCAGCUGACAUCAGCAAAAAUGACUGGCUCGAAAAACUACAGAUAUCAGGGUUUGUGCCACAGAAGAACACAGUCUGGGUGCUAGAAGGUAUCCUCUACUACCUCUCCCACACCCACGCCAUGCAAGUGCUGAAGAUCAUAGCUGACAAGUGUGCCCUUGCCCACACAGUUCUCUUGGCAGAUUUCAUGAAUAAACCAUCCACCACUC